AUUGAACGCUGGCGGCAGGCCUAACACAUGCAAGUCGAGCGGACGAAGGGAGCUUGCUCCUGGAUUCAGCGGCGGACGGGUGAGUAAUGCCUAGGAAUCUGCCUGGUAGUGGGGGAUAACGUCCGGAAACGGGCGCUAAUACCGCAUACGUCCUGAGGGAGAAAGUGGGGGAUCUUCGGACCUCACGCUAUCAGAUGAGCCUAGGUCGGAUUAGCUAGUUGGUGGGGUAAAGGCCUACCAAGGCGACGAUCCGUAACUGGUCUGAGAGGAUGAUCAGUCACACGGAAACUGAGACACGGUCCAGACUCCCACGGGAGGCAGGUGUGGAGUAUUUUGGACUAGGCGCGAGAGCCUGGUACAGCCAUGCCGCGUGUGAGAAGAAUGUUCUCGGAUUGUAAAGCUCUUUUAGUUGGGAGGAAGGGGAGUAAGUUAAUACCUUGCUGUUUAGACGUUACCAACAGAAUAAGCACCGGCUAACUUCG
rnacentral:rRNA from 1 species